rnacentral:rRNA from 1 species
AGUGAACGCUGGCGGUAGGCCUAACACAUGCAAGUCGAACGGCAGCACAGUAAGAGCUUGCUCUUACGGGUGGCGAGUGGCGGACGGGUGAGGAAUACAUCGGAAUCUACUUUUUCGUGGGGGAUAACGUAGGGAAACUUACGCUAAUACCGCAUACGACCUACGGGUGAAAGCCGGGGAUCUUCGGACCUUGCGCGAUUGAGUGAGCCGAUGUCGGAUUAGCUAGUUGGCGGGGUAAAGGCCCACCAAGGCGACGAUCCGUAGCUGGUCUGAGAGGAUGAUCAGCCACACUGGAACUGAGACACGGUCCAGACUCCUACGGGAGGCAGCAGUGGGGAAUAUUGGACAAUGGGCGCAAGCCUGAUCCAGCCAUACCGCGUGGGUGAAGAAGGCCUUCGGGUUGUAAAGCCCUUUUGUUGGGAAAGAAAAGCAGCAGGUUAAUACCCCGCUGUUCUGACGGUACCCAAAGAAUAAGCACCGGCUAACUUCGUG